CCACCAUUGUCCUUCACCCAGAAGAGAGAGUUUAAGGGAAGAUUUUCCCCCACUUCAUAUUCCAUUGCAAUUAUCACCAACUUCAUCUGCCACUGCAGUGUGCUGACUUGAUUUGCAUCGAUUCCCCUGAACUAUACCUAAUUUCUCCAGACACUGCCAACAGGAGUCCCACCUGCAAGUCCCACCCUAACUGCUCCUCUCCCAGUCAGAUUUUACUCAAUGCGUUAAAAACUCAACACACUGCCCUAUUACAGGUUGCUGUGGUCACAAAAUAGAUUGGAUUGUAAGUGAUGUUAAAGUUUAGCAUUUAGUUUCAACCCAGCGUGGGGUUGCCAACCAAUGAUGGCAGAUGGAAGACCAAAACCAGGCGUUUCUUUGUGCUUUUUGUCUCCCAGCUCCUUUUGGUGCAGCUGUUCCCCAGCUCCAACAGACCAGCUGCUGCUGGGAGAGCACGAGAAGGGAAAAGUCCGUGGCACAACGGUGCGGAAAGUGGGAAGCAGAGACCUCCAUCAGCAAAAUGGGAAAGCAGAAUUUCUCUUCCAUAGGGGUUUAGUAAGGGGAAAUUCAGAAAUGACCAAGUUUGAGUGCUGUGCUGGUACAGAGACGAUGGAGGUCAAAGGUAGGAAUGGAGUGGGGAGAAAUAUGACAGUUUUUAAAGGGCAGCCAGGGAAGAAAUGCAAACAUUGAGAGCGUUUUAAAGAAGCAAAGAGAUGAAAACCAGCCUGAAAAAAACACAUUAAAUCAGAAAAAUUGCCACAACAACUAAAGCAGAGAAUAGGAAGAGAAAAAGGAAAGCCCAAAGGGAUCGUAAUGCAAUCUUCUUUUUACUUACAGCUUCGACUCUUCAUUCAAUUUUUUGAAUGCCAGCUUCAUUAGUGGUUUUGGCUAGGCCCUUACAAACAAAUCAGGCAGCACUUUACCAACACCCGCCUGCGAGGAGACCAUCUAUGUUUGGGACCAUCUAUGUUUGGAACCAUCUCUUUUGGACCAUCUAUGUUUGGGACCACCUAUGUUUGGGUCUAUCUAUGUUUAGGACCAUCUCUUUGGAGACAUCUAUGUUUGGGACCAUCUAUGACUGGGACCAUCUCUGUGGAACUAUUUCCUUGGCUACGGCUCUGGCUCUAUGGCUGAGACCAUCUAUGACUUGGAUCAUCUAUGUUUGGGACCAUCUAUGAUUGGGACCAUCUAGGCAGACCUCACCCACGCUGAGGAUUUUAACAUUAACACAGUCUCUCCAACAUAGUUACACUGAUGUAAAC
ensembl:lncRNA